UGUUAUGAUACACACUGAGUAUAUGUGCAUACUGAACACUAAACACCCACACAAAUAUGUGCUUCAAUAUGGAUUUUGUUGUUGUUGUUAUUGUAGAGAGGUAUGAAGCUUUACCUGAAGGCAUGCCCUUUCCUCUUCUGGAGAAGUCUGACCACUUAAGCAUGUUCAUUCAAGAAGUGCAAAAUUACUUAACGAGUUUCCGACUGGAGAGAUCUUACCUGGCUUCAUUUAGAGGGGUGCAUGGAGAUAAGACCCUGACUGUUCAAGUUGCUUUGAAGAAUUCUAAGAAAGACGUGAGGCUCAAAAGCCUGCUUUGAAAUAGAGAGCUACUGACUGGAUAGUUCUUACAAUAAAAGUUGACAAGAGAA
rnacentral:lncRNA from 1 species